rnacentral:rRNA from 1 species
GACGAACGCUGGCGGCAUGCCUAACACAUGCAAGUCGAACGCGAACUCCGGGUCUAGGGGCGCACUGGUGCGUAAGGGGUGGGAACAUGACUUUGGGUUCGGCCUAACUUCCCGACAGGGGUGCUAAUAAAGGAUAAUGUCCUCGGACGAAUGAUUUAUCGCCUUGGGAUGGGCUCGCGUUGGAUUAGCUAGUUGGUAGGGUAACAGCAUACCAAGGCGACGAUUCUUAGCUGGUUUGAGAGGAUGAUAAGCGACACUGGGACUAAGACACGGCCCCGACUCCUACGGAGCGCAGCAGUGGGGAACACUGGACGAUGAGCGCAGGCCUGAUCCAGCCAUGCCGCGUGAGUCAGCAAGGCGUUAGGAUUGUAAAGCUCUUUUAGCCGGGACGAUAAUGACGGUACCGGCAGAAUAAGCGCCGGCUAACUCCGUG